rnacentral:rRNA from 1 species
UACGUAGGUGGCAAGCGUUGUCCGGAUUUAUUGGGUUUAAAGGGUGCGUAGGCGGCCUUAUAAGUCAGUGCUGAAAUAUCCCGGCUUAACCGGGAGAGUGGCAUUGAUACUGUAGGGCUUGAGUGUAGUCGAGGUAGGCGGAAUUGACGGUGUAGCGGUGAAAUGCUUAGAUAUCGUCAAAGAACACCGGAUAGUGUAGACAGCUUACUAGGCUAACAACUGACGCUGAGGCACGAAAAGUGUGGGGAUCAAACAGG